GACGAACGCUGGCGGCGUGCCUAAUACAUGCAAGUUGAGCGCUGAAGGUUGGUGCUUGUCCCGACUGGAUGAGCAGCGAACGGGUGAGUAACGCGUGGGGAAUCUGCUUUUGAGCGGGGGACAACAUUUGGAAACGAAUGCUAAUACUGCAUAAAAACUUUAAACACAAGUUUUAAGUUUGAAAGAUGCAAUUGCAUCACUCAAAGAUGAUCCCGCGUUGUAUUAGCUAGUUGGUGAGGUAAAGGCCCACCAAGGCGAUGAUACAUAGCCGACCUGAGAGGGUGAGAGGCCACAUUGGGACAGUGACACGGCCCAAAGACCUACAGGAGACAGCAGUAGGGAAACUUCGGCAAUAGGCGAGAGACUGAGCGAGAGACGCCGCGUGAGGGAAGAGGGGUCUCGGGUCGUAAAAAUCUGUUGGGAGGGAAGAAAGUUGGUGAGGGUGGAAAGCUCGUUAAGUGACGGUAACUACACAGAAAGGGACGGCUAACUACGUG
rnacentral:rRNA from 1 species